rnacentral:rRNA from 1 species
UACGGGGGGGGCAAGCGUUGUUCGGAAUUACUGGGCGUAAAGGGCGCGUAGGCGGCCUGCUAAGUCGGACGUGAAAUCCCUCGGCUCAACCGGGGAACUGCGUCCGAUACUGGCGAGGCUUGAAUCCGGGAGAGGGAUGUGGAAUUCCAGGUGUAGCGGUGAAAUUCGUAGAUAUUAGGAAGAACACCAGUGGCGAAGGCGGCUCACUGGCCCGGUACUGACGCUGAGGCGCGAAAGCGUGGGGAGCGAACAGG